AAUGAAUGAAAUGGAUAGACAACUUCAAACGGCAAGCUAUACUCUAGCAGAAAAGGAGAAACAAAUUGAAGCCCUUCAGAGAAGAUUGACUUUAAAAGAGCAAAAGGAAACUGAAGCCUUACAGCAAAGAUCAUCACUAAAAUACUUGGAAAGGGAAAAUGAAGAACUCAAACAAAGG